GUGAAUCAUCAAAUUUUUGAACGCAAAUUGCACUUUCUGGUAUUCCGGAAAGUAUGCCCGUUUGAGGGUCAGUUAAAUAAACAUCGGCGUAGUUGCUUCCUUUCGUGGUGAAGCGUCGGAAUUGGGUCGUUUUAUCUUCGGUUAUGAGUCUUAAAAUUUUUGCAUGAUUCCCGUACGUACUU
rnacentral:misc_RNA from 1 species